ensembl:ncRNA R13A5.16 ncRNA
UCGAAUCUCCUCCUACUUUUCUGUGCCCUCUUCACUUCGACACCAAUUUUUCGCCAAAUGUGGUCGUUUUCACCAUUUUUUAUCGCGCAUCACUCAUAUUUACAUAGAAAAUCAACUAUUUAUAAUUUAUCUU